rnacentral:lncRNA from 1 species
UAUUAAUUAAAAUAAUAAACGAAAAUAAAUGCUAAAUCUUUCCUAUGAAUCAAAUACUGAACUAAUUUGUAUAUCGCGGCAAAAUCAAUAGUGUCCUUAUAUUCUUUUAUUGUUUUAACCUACAUAAUUCAUAAUUGCUCAAAUUAAAAUGAACAAGUGAAACUGCGAGCUACUGCUCACUGAUGAUACCCCCGCCGCAAGUGGAUAAUAUUAAUAGUGUAAAAAUAUGCAAGUGUUCGGUAAACAGGAAGUUAUUGAGUGAUGACUCUGAAAACACAUCACACGGUAUAGCUGACUUAUAUAAACCUUGAAACCAAAUUUCAGAAAUCCUUGUAUUGUUGUUCCUGAGAAAAUUGUGACGAAAAUUUUUAACUUGGCUAUCUUGGGUAAAAUCAUACAAGUGUUCGGUAAACAGGAAGUUGUCAAGUGAUGAAUCUGAAAACGCAUCACACGGUAUAGCUGACUUAUAUAAACCCUGAAACCAAAUUUCAGAAAUCCUUGUAUUGUAGUUCCUGAGAAAAUUGUGACGAAAAUUUUCAACUUGGCUAUCAUGUGUAAAAUCAUACAAGUGUUCGGUAAACAGGAAGUUGUCAAGUGAUGAAUCUGAAAACGCAUCACACGGUAUAGCUGACUUAUAUAAACCCUGAAACCAAAUUUCAGAAAUCCUUGUAUUGUAGUUCCUGAGAAAAAUGUGACGAAAAUUUUCAACUUGGCUAUCAUGUGUAAAAUCAUACAAGUGUUCGGUAAACAGGAAGUUGUCAAGUGAUGAAUCUGAAAACGCAUCACACAGUAUAGCUGACUUAUAUCAAGCCUGAAACCAAAUUUCAGAAAUCCUGGUAGUGUAGUUCCUGAGAAAAAUGUGACGAAAAAUAUUCAUGGGACGGACGGACUGACUGACAGACUGACGGACUGAUGGACUGAUGGACUGACGGACUGACGGAAGGACAGACAGAGGUAAAACAGUAUACCCCCCUUUUUUUCAAAGCGGGGGUAUAA